GACGAACGCUGGCGGCGUGCUUAACACAUGCAAGUCGAGCGGUAAGGCCCUUUCGGGGGUACACGAGCGGCGGAACGGGUGAGUAACACGUGGGUGACCUGCCCUCAGCUCUGGGAUAAGCCUGGGAAACUGGGUCUAAUACUGGAUAUGACUCCACGGUGCAUGUCGUGGGGUGGAAAGCCUUGUGCGGCUGAGGAUGGGCCCGCGGCCUAUCCAGCUUGUUGGUGGGGGUGAGGCCUACCAAGGCGACGACGGGUAGCCGGCCUGAGAGGGCGACCGGCCGACACUGGGACUGAGACACGGCCCAGACUCCUACGGGAGGCAGCAGUGGGGAAUCUUGCGCAAUGGGCGAAAGCCUGACGCAGCGACGCCGCGUGAGGGA
rnacentral:rRNA from 1 species